rnacentral:rRNA from 1 species
GAUGAACGCUGGCGGCGUGCUUAACACAUGCAAGUCGAACGGAAAGGCUCCUGCUUGCCGGGGUACUCGAGUGGCGAACGGGUGAGUAACACGUGGGUGAUCUGCCCUGCACUUCGGGAUAAGCCUGGGAAACUGGGUCUAAUACCGGAUAGGACCACAUUUUGGAUGGUGUGGUGGAAAGUUUUUCGGUGUGGGAUGAGCUCGCGGCCUAUCAGCUUGUUGGUGGGGUAAUGGCCUACCAAGGCGUCGACGGGUAGCCGGCCUGAGAGGGUGUACGGCCACAUUGGGACUGAGAUACGGCCCAGACUCCUACGGGAGGCAGCAGUGGGGAAUAUUGCACAAUGGGCGCAAGCCUGAUGCAGGGACGCCGCGUGGGGGAUGACGGCCUUCGGGUUGUAAACUCCUUUCGCUAGGGACGAAGCGCAAGUGACGGUACCUGGAGAAGAAGCACCGGCUAACUACGUG